GCACAGUGCUCCUGUCGGCUAGAGAGGAAAACCAGGCUGCACAGUGCUCCUGUCGGCUAGAGAGGAAAACCAGGCUGCACAGUGCUCCUGUCGGCUAGAGAGGAAAACCAGGCUACACAGUGCUCCUGUCGGCUAGAGAGGAAAACCAGGCUACACAGUGCUCCUGUCGGCUAGAGAGGAAAACCAAUCUGACAACUGAAACAACAACACAUCCAAUAACCCUCACAUGCAGAAGUGAGGACACACACACACACACACACACACACACACACACACACACACACACACACACACACACACACACACACACACACACACAGAAUAACCCCAGGACAGAGCCAGCUGUUUAAUAGAGGAAGCAAACAGAAGAAGAUGUUGAGACAGACACAGAGGUCACCUUUGCUAUCACUUCUAUCCAAUCAAGAUGAGUUAACACUAGAUGUAAGGAGCGAUGAAAGGAAGACAGGUGUGCUGGAGACAGAGCAGAUCCCCACCAGCUGCAACCCAUUCCAUAAUCAAGACCUCUACAAAUACUCAGUCCUGCAACUUCCACUCUGCCAGAUCGUAAUCUCUGCUCAUUUCGCCACUCUGACUCUGGUCCCUGUCUCCUGUUCCACACCCCGCUACCCUGUUGUGGUUUCGGCACACUACCAAUCCCUUAAAUUCACCUCCGGACCUGCUAACCCUGUUCCAAUCCCGCUCACUCCAACCUCAGCCUCCGCAUCUGGUUUCCUACAACCCACCCGAGCUUCCUCUGGCCUGCACUCCAUCUCUCCCUGUGUUACAAUAAAUACCUUGGUUCAUUCAUCCCUGUUUCCGUGUCUGAGUCUGCUCUUGGGUUCCCCUGUGCUGCUCCGUCUAUCAGUAUAUACAUAUGAGAUGAGUAAUGCAAGAUAUGUAAACGUUAUUAAAGUGACUAGUGCUCCAUUUAUUAAAGUGGCCAAUGAUUUCAAGUCUGUAUGUAGGCAGCAGCCUCUCUGUGUUAGUGAUGGCUGUUUGACAGUCUGAUGGCCUUGAGAUUGAAAAACAGCUUCAGUCUCUCGUCCCAGCUUUGAUGCACUUGUACUGACCUCGCCAUCUGGAUGGUAGCGAGGUGAACAGGCAGUGGCUCGGGUGGUUGUUCAGACUCUUGAUUCAGUACUUUGUUGAAGCACCUUUGGCAGCGAUUACAGCCUCGAGUCAUCUUGGGUAUGACGCUACAAGCUUGGCACACCUAUACUUGGGGAGAUUCUCCCAUUCUCUGCAGAUUCUCUGAAGCUCUGUCAGGAUGGAUGGGGAGCGUCGCUGCACAGCUGUUUUCAGGUCUCUCCAGAGAUGUUCGAUUGGGUUCAAGUCCAGGCUCUGGCUGGUCCUCUCAAGGACAUUCAGAGACUUGUCCUGAAGCCACUCCUGCAUUGUCUUGGCUGUGUGCUUAGGGUUGUUGUCCUGUUGGAAGGUAAACUUUAGCCCCAGUUUGAGGUCCUGAGUGCUCUGGAGCAGGUUUUCAUCAAGGAUCUCUCUGUACUUUCCUCCGAUCAUCCUUCCCUCGAUCCUGACUAGUCUCCCAGUCCCUGCCCCUGAAAAACAUCCCCACAGCAGGUUUCCGCCAGACGUGAUGCUUGGCAUUCAGGCCAAAGAGUUCAAUCUUGGUUUUAUCAGACCAGAGAAUCUUUUGGCAAACUCCAAGUGGGCUGUGUCAUGACGUUGGCCUCUUUUGGUACAAUUUUGUGAUACUCAGAAGAGACAAUAUAGUCAUAUUACCAUAAAACUGUUUAUAUAAUAGACUCAGUUUAAGACUUGCCUCAUAUGGGUGUAUGGAAUGUAUUAAUAAGGAUAAAGCUUUUGUAAGACAUUGAGAUGCUAUGUACUGAUGUAAUGUGAUAGAAUUGUAUUUCUGUAACCAAAUCUAACUCAGUCAUAGGCACGCCCCAGGGACACAUACAGGACCAGGCGUCAUUUGACCAGCCUGUUCGAUGGGCACUAUAAAACACUCCCUGAUUUACAUUUCUCCAGACCAGGCCUACACUCUAUGGCCAGAGGUUUGACCAUCCAAGUACUCUACUGAAAUUGAACCAUACCACGUGGUUAACUUUUAGACUAUUGAUACCGACAGAAUAAGAACAAGUCUUUGAUAUUAAUUAUUAGUCUGUAGCUAAGUAAAUUAUAUCAUCGAACGCGAAGACCAACGAAACAACCAUUCUAUGACGAC
rnacentral:lncRNA from 1 species